rnacentral:rRNA from 1 species
CCUACGGGGGGCAGCAGUGGGGAAUAUUGCACAAUGGGGGAAACCCUGAUGCAGCGACGCCGCGUGAGUGAAGAAGUAUUUCGGUAUGUAAAGCUCUAUCAGCAGGGAAGAAAAUGACGGUACCUGACUAAGAAGCCCCGGCUAACUACGUGCCAGCAGCCGCGGUAAUACGUAGGGGGCAAGCGUUAUCCGGAUUUACUGGGUGUAAAGGGAGCGUAGGUGGUUCGAUAAGUCAGAUGUGAAAGCCCGGGGCUCAACUCCGGGACUGCAUUUGAAACUAUCGAACCAGAGUGCAGGAGAGGUAAGUGGAAUUCCUAGUGUAGCGGUGAAAUGCGUAGAUAUUAGGAGGAACACCAGUGGCGAAGGCGGCUUACUGGACUGUAACUGACGCUGAGGCACGAAAGCGUGGGGAGCGAACAGGAUUAGAUACCCCGGUAGUC